GCUGACCGUGCUGACAAAAUUGAGGAAAUAGUUUCUGCUUCUCUACGACUUGAAGAGGAAGCAAAUCGUCCUACUGACACUACAAUCAAUUCCAUUGACGAGGUCGGCACCGCACCAGAGGGCGAUUCGAUUAAUUAUGAGGAAAAGUACAGGGAACUAAAAGUCAAGCAUCGGCGACUCAAAGAAAAAUACAAACAAUUGUAAUUACGCUUGCCUAGCGGUAAUUUAGACGUCGAACUCUAUCCCGACUCUGGAGUGUUCUUACCCAGUUCCGAUCUGGCAGCUAUCAAAAUUGCUUCAAACAAGCCUACCGUUUUGGCUAGAAAUCUGUUUCGGCGAUUGUUCAGCAUAGAAGAGAUGUCGAGCCAUUCAUUGUUCUGAAAAAAGUGCAACGCGAAUCAGGGCCAGGUCCCACUUCCAGAAAUUGAUGUUGGAAGACGAAAUGCAGUAAUCAACUAUGUCUUAAAGGAGGAGGGAUUUGAUGCACCCCCAACUACAGGAAACAUUGAAGCAGACGGAAUCUUCUUGAAAGCGAAAAAAACUACACACAAGGAGAUAUCAAAAUCGUUGACAGAGCUUCUUCGUCAAGAACA